rnacentral:lncRNA from 1 species
CAGUCAGAAGGGAAGGCGGGUUUUUCCGGAUACCUUGGGUCGGUUUCGCUUAGUAGCUGAGCAGGCUUGAAAGGUCCCUUAAGCUGUGUUCUCUGUCCUGCCGCUGGAUGCUGUGGAGGGUGCUCAGGCAAGCUCCGAAGUUGCGGCAUGGAUGCAUUGACCUAUGAUGAUGUGUAUGUGAACUUCACUCGAGAAGAAUGGGCUUUGCUGAAUCCUUCACAGAAGAGUCUCUACAAAGAUGUGAUGUUGGAGACCUACAGGAACCUCAAUGCUGUAGGCUACAAUUGGGAAGACCAUAAUAUUGAAGAACAUUGUCAAAGUUCCAGAAGACAUGGAAGGUAAUUUUCAUGUUCAAGUUGGUAUGGAUAUGCUUAUAAAGAAAAGUUAAUGUGUCCUGGAACUUUUAAAGAAAAGCAACAGUGUUUAAAAAAAUAAAAUAAAAAAAGCAUUCUUUAAGUGUGUUGAUUAAAUUCUCACAGAUCCCCAUACC